UCCCCGUUACCGGGGCAGUCUGAAUAGAAAAAUUCAACUAUUCAUAGGGGUUGCGCUCGUUGAUGGACUUAACCAAACAUCUCACGACACGAGCUGACGACGGCCAUGCAACACCUGUCAUUUGGCUCCCGAAGGCACUCUCGUCUUUCGACAAAAUUCCAAAGAUGUCAAGCCCUGGUAAGGUUCUUCGCUUAGCAUCGAAUUAAACAACAUGAUCCACCGCUUGUGCGGGUCCCCGUCAAUUCCUUUGAGUUUUAAUCUUGCGACCGUACUCCCCAGGCGGGAUACUUAACGCGUUAGCUUCGUUACUGAAGGGGUCGAUGCCUCCAACAACUAGUAUCCAUAGUUUACGGCGUGGACUAC
rnacentral:misc_RNA from 1 species